rnacentral:rRNA from 1 species
AUGUUUGCUGACCACCUUUUCUACAAAUGCCGCUUCUCUAUCCGCCUAUGGGGAUUAGUCAAGGACUGGCUGCAACUGGUGAGCAUUGAUACUUCCUCAUGGCACCUCUCAGGCAACAUCGAAGAGUGGUGGGUGGGCCUCUCCGACACAUCUAUCCCCAACAGGAAGGCGAUGGCCUCGCUCAUCAUGCUAGUCGCCUGGACCAUUUGGAACGAGAGGAAUGCGCGAGUGUUCCGUCAGAAGAGUGCUCCGCCGACGGUUCUACUCGCCAACAUUAAGAAGGAGGCCACACUUUGGGUAUCAGCGGGUGCAAGCAAGUUGGGAUACUUGAUGACGCGAGAGUAG